rnacentral:rRNA from 1 species
AGCGAACGCUGGCGGCAGGCCUAACACAUGCAAGUCGAACGAACUCUUCGGAGUUAGUGGCGGACGGGUGAGUAACACGUGGGAACGUGCCUUUAGGUUCGGAAUAACUCAGGGAAACUUGUGCUAAUACCGAAUGUGCCCUUCGGGGGAAAGAUUUAUCGCCUUUAGAGCGGCCCGCGUCUGAUUAGCUAGUUGGUGAGGUAAAGGCUCACCAAGGCGACGAUCAGUAGCUGGUUUGAGAGACUGAUCAGCCACAUUGGGACUGAGACACGGCCCAAACUCCUACGGGAGGCAGCAGUGGGUAAUCUUGCGCAAUGGGCGAAAGCAUGACGCAGCCAUGCCGCGUGAAUGAUGAAGGUCUUAGGAUUGUAAAAUUCUUUCACCGGGGACGAUAAUGACGGUACCCGGAGAAGAAGCCCCGGCUAACUUCGUG